ACUUCCGGCUCGCGGCCCCGCCCACCUGCUGGUCGUCGGGCGCGCUGGUGCAGUGGCCGCUUCUUGGCAGGCAGGGCCGCCCAAAUGUUGGUGGCGGCCAUUGGGGCGAAGGUAACGCCGUUUGGCCCGGCGCGGGGGCUGCUGUCAGCGCCAUCCCAGCAGGCCCAUGUGCUCCUGAUCUUUCAAGGGCCUCCCCCGGUCGUUUCUUCUCCUGCCACGCCGCCGCGCUCCAGGCUCCCCGGGCGGUGACACGCCCUUGGCAGCCUGGCUCCCCGCUCUGUUACGCGCUGGGGCACAGGCGGGCGGGGCGGGCUGUCUCCUGUUUCCCGUUUCCUCCUCCGCUAACUGGCGUGGAUUGCCACGCCUGCCUUCUCCACUCACCUUGGGCUCUCAUUGGGCCAUCCUUUGGACUUGUAACGUUUGGAAAGGGCUGGGUAGGUUGUUGAUCAAGCAGGUUUCCUUUAUGCUUUCAUCCUGCAGGCGACCAAGAGCAACGCGUUUUAGGAUUUAAUUUUAAAACUUUAAAGAGGUUAAUUUUUUUUUAAUGUGUAAAGUGUAUGCAUCCCUUGUGAUUAUGUGGGUUUGCAGUUAACACCUUCAGUGCAGCUAAGUCCUACCUUGGCUUUAAUCGCUCUUCUGCAGUGUACUAGCCCAGCAACACGUGGGCGAAUGGUUAUAAUUUCUGUGCUUAUAUGCUUUGUUUUUCCAGUCUACAGAAGUAGAAUUUAUCCCUUAGGGUUUGUAAGGAUUUAAAGUGUUAAUCGAAGCUUCAGUACUUAGAACUGUACCUGCAAGUUUACCGUUUAAAGCAGACAGUCACCAUUCUAUAAGUAUACUAAAAAGUGUGUGGUAAAUGCUAUAGACAGACACUGCUGAAGACUUUCAGUCUGACUGAUUUUGAGGAAUCUUUUGAGAAAGUGACAUUGAAGUGAAUAUAAUGUCGAGGUUAGCAUCUGGGGAAAAGGUACCUCUUGAAUGUCGUGGAUGGGGCCAUUUCUUAGAGGCUAAAAGCAAGCUUGUCGAUCCGAGUUUGCACCAGAACCCACACGGAGUAGCAGAGACAAAAUUCAGACGCACACACUAACAAGUGGGUGUGAUCAGAGGUUCAUAAGUCUGAGAUGUAGAAAUCCAGGAGGGUGUGUGUUGACGACUUGCAGAAAUACUAAAGAAAAGUUGACAUAGGUUUGUAGAAAUGUUGAACAGUUUAUCAGAAUGUUUUUGCCCCCUUGGAACAGGAAACCAGUUCCAAACAGCUAAAGCAAUAAAGUGUUCUCUCACUUAAGUUCAGAGAUAAAAUCUGGGCUUUGAGUACCCUGUUGUCCAGGAGAAAGGGGGAGCAAAUGAGUUAUUUAACUAGGGAAGAGUGGGUACUGAGUGGGUAGCUAACUGUGCCAUCCAAGCCAUAACUGGGGUUUAUUAAUAAUGUGAUAGCUACUAAACGUUCUGUAGGUUUCUACCCACAGUCUGGUUCUCUUUAUUUGACUCCCAGGGCAAUCUCAUUUACUUCUUUGGUUAUAGUAGCACUUAUAUAUUUGUGAUAAUAAAAUCUUUUGUGGAGAGUCUCUCUCAGGUGACAAUCCCAGA
rnacentral:lncRNA from 1 species